rnacentral:rRNA from 1 species
GAGUAACACGUGGAUAACCUACCUAUAAGACUGGGAUAACUUCGGGAAACCGGAGCUAAUACCGGAUAAUAUAUUGAACCGCAUGGUUCAAUAGUGAAAGACGGUUUUGCUGUCACUUAUAGAUGGAUCCGCGCCGCAUUAGCUAGUUGGUAAGUUAACGGCUUACCAAGGCAACGAUGCGUAGCCGACCUGAGAGGGUGAUCGGCCACACUGGAACUGAGACACGGUCCAG